rnacentral:tRNA from 1 species
UGCCGGAUGGGGCGCGGCACGCCUUGCGGCCCAACUGGUGCCGGCCGCGGGUAUUCCGGGAGAACUGGUGGCGGUCACCAUCGCCAUCUGGAAUCC